rnacentral:rRNA from 1 species
GAGAGUAAAACAGUACGUGAAAUUGUUGAAAGGGAAACGCUUGAAGUCAGUCGUGCCGGCGUUGGAUUCAGCUUGCUUCGCGGAGCAGGCGUAUUUCCAUGCAUGGCAGGUCAGCGUCAGUUUUGCGCGGCGUGAAAAGGCUCGGGUAAGGUAGCUCUCUUCGGGGAGUGUUAUAGACCUGGGCAGAUGCGCUGCGCGGGACUGAGGAUUGCAGCGGACACCCCCUCGGGGGCGCGGCGACCGAACUCUGCUCGGCCACCCUCGUUCGAUAGCGUGCUAGCGGACGCGGGAGCGGCAGUGCACCGGAACAGGCAAGCCAGCGGUUCGCUAAGGAUGCUGACGUAAUGGCUUUAAACGA